GGAGCCGCUUCCGCCCGAGGCUGCGCGGUCCCCGCGGCGCUCCCGCAGCCGCUCUGCCGGGUCGGCGACGGAAGCGGUGACUGCAGCCGGAGCCGCCAGGUAGUGGCGGCGGCAGAGCUCGGAGCGCCCGGCGCUCCCGCCGGCUGCCGGGCGGCCUGGAGGAGAGAAGGGAAGCCGCUCCCGGCCCUCCUCUGCGGAGGAGCUGCUCACCGGGUUAGCCUAGCAGGAGGAGGCGGCAGGUGUUGCUUCCAGCUGGGUCGCCGCUCGCCGGGGUUGCGGGGUGCGGAGCUGGCCCAGUCUGGCCGCAGUGGUUGCUGCAGGGCUGGCUGAAAGAUGGACGACGAUGACUUCGGAGGAUUUGAGGCUGCGGAGAGUUACGAGUUUGGAGAUGGUGAGAAGCAGACAACAUCCCCUGCUAUUGCCUGGGCAGCGUUUCCUGCAGUAUCUGAAGUCCAUGUGUCUCGUGAUGUCCUUUUGGAGCACUCUGUGCCUUCUGCCUCCCUGGUGUCUUCUGACUCAUUCAGUUUAUCAAGUGAUAACGUGGCAAAAGCUCUCCAAAGAGCCAGCAGUGCUACAAACCCAGCAACUGUUGAAGAACAGCUUCCAGCAGCUAUUGAAGUUGCCUCUUUGAAUGCAGCUGAGGACAAGACUUCAGGUACACCCAGCAUAGCUCUGGCUGAUGAUGAGACACAGAGAACAAGUGAACCCAAGAGCUCCCUUCAGCAGGCUGCUGCAAACCUAGAAAUCAAGCUGUGCUCUGCUGAAGAAGAAAAGAUACUAAUCAGGAAGGAGUUGAAACAGUUACUGGAAAAACAUAGUGUUCUGGAGAUGGAUUUCCUGAGGGAAAAGAGCCAAAGAGGAAUUUCACAUCAAGAGCAUCACAAGGCGCUUCAGGAAAAGCAUAAGCAGGAGUUAGAAGACAUGAGGGAAGCUGGACAUGAAGCUUUGAGUAUUAUUGUUGAAGAAUUCAAGGCACUGCUGCAAUCCACAGCGGAGCAUCAAGAAGCAGCUCUUGCCAAGCAGUAUCUGCUGGCCAUUGAAAAGCAUUCUCAGAAGUGUGAAGAACUUCUCAGUGCUCAGCAUCAGCGACUUCUUGACAUCUUGGAAGCUGAGAAGGAAGUGUUAUCAGAAAAGAUAGAGGAAGCUUUGCUGCAGCAGUCACAGAAGCACAAGGAAUUGCUUGACAAGUGCUUGGAUGAAGAAAGACAGAGGAGCAAGGAGGCCGUGGCAGCUGCUGCACAGGCUGAAAAAGAAGCAGUGCAGGAAGCUGUUCUGAAAGCAGUAGAAGAGGAGAGGAGAAAUAUGGGGAAGAUUCAUGCAGAAGAAAGAAAAAUGUGGGAAGCAGAACGUGACAGACAUGAAGAGAAGAUUGCCCAAGCUGUUUGUGAAGCCAUGCAGGAGCAAAGAAAGCAUAACCAGGAGAUUGUCAAGGAAGCCUUAAUGGAGGAGCAAAAGCGAAGCGAAAAAGCAAUUGAAGCUGCAGUGAAAAGGACAAGAGAGGAGCUGAUGGAGUAUAUUCAAGAGCAGAAGCGGGCGUCCAGAAGGAUGUGCUGAUUUUCGCCCAGCAGUCCUGAGGCACAGCUGUCUAUACCCAUCCCAUGUGUCACUCCCAUUUUUCCUGUGGGUCAAGCUUCCAGAAAUCAAACAGCCUCCUGUUAGGAAACGUCAGGAUGCUGCCAUUCCAUCAGGCUGUCCUUCAGUAUGCAUCUUGAAACUCUUGGCAAACAUAUCUUAGCUAGAUGAUUCAAGAGAAAAGGGAUCACUCUCUCCUCCUCUGAACAAACGCCACCACUGGAGGAUGCCCUAGAAAACAGAGAGACUUGAUUUUGUAAAUCCUGGCACAGUCUGAGUUGACAGACUGCUUCUGCUGCAGCUACCAGAGCAGGAGCUGCUGUGUUUCUAGAGAGGAUGGAGCCCUCACCAGCUCUUGAUGACAGUCUGCCAGAAAUGUGAAUAAGACCAUGCAGGCCCUGAGUUCAUCACUCCCACGUUAUGUGACUUAGUGCAUACCGAGCUGACAGGCUGCUUGGAUAAAGAUAAGGCAAAACUUUGGAAAGCAGCAACUGCUCCAUGGAUCGAGUUUCUGUCGAUGGUGCUGUUUACAGGAAAAUUUCUUCACCUCAGAAUGUCCAGGUCACUCUGAUACACAGUCAAACAUGAGAACGUGAGCAGAGCUGCUGUGAGCAAAGCAGGUAUUGGCAGCACCUGUGGCUUCAGUCUCAGCAGCGGUGUUGUAAAGAGGACUGACAGCAAGUAGAGGAGAGUUGAGACUGCUGAGUCGUUCUUUUCCCUAUUGACUACCCUCUGGAGAUAUCUACAUGAGGGUUGAAGACCAUAAACAAAGAUCAUCAGUCACAGAGCCCCAGCAGAGGCAGAAAUUUUCAAGGUGUAUUGGAUCCUCAUAGAAGUUCAUUGAAGAGACGACAAUGCAAUGGGCUUGGAGCUAUCAGAGUGCCUUUAAUACAGAGUUUCCUGUCUGGAAAACUGGUAGCAGAUGACUGGUCCUCGUUGUACAAAUGAAGACCAAAAGGCAGCCAGUGGCUGUGAAUGGAUAAAGGGGCAAAUCUGUGGAAGAGUAAUGAUCCAUCAACAUUGCAGGAAGUCUCAUUUAAUGCCAUAAAUAAAUAUGGAUUAAAUACUGGAGUGGGACUGAGUGAAGCAAGUUAAGGGUGAGGAGUCUUUCCCAACCCUCUGGUUUUUAAGCUAUGAGACCCUGCACAAUUAAUAGGCUGCAUUCCAGGGUCAGUUUUACUCCUGUGUCAGGAAGCGUUGCUGAUGGACAUUCCCAAGGAAAGCCAGCAUCGUGGAGAG